CCUACGGGAGGCUGCAGUGAGGAAUAUUGGGCAAUGGACGAGAGUCUGAACCAGCCAAGUAGCGUGAAGGAUGACUGCCCUAUGGGUUGUAAACUCCUUUUAUAAAGGAAUAAAACGAGGCACGUGUGCCUUUUUGCAUGUACUUUAUGAAUAAGGAUCGGCUAACUCCGUGCCAGCAGCCGCGGUAAUACGGAGGAUCCGAGCGUUAUCCGGAUUUAUUGGGUUUAAAGGGAGCGUAGAUGGGUUGUUAAGUCAGUUGUGAAAGUUUGCGGCUCAACCGUAAAAUUGCAAUUGAUACUGGCAGUCUUGAGUACAGUUGAGGUAGGCGGAAUUCGUGGUGUAGCGGUGAAAUGCUUAGAUAUCACGAAGAACCCCGAUGGCGAAGGCAGCUUACUAAACUGUGACUGACAUUGAUGCUCGAAAGUGUGGGUAGCAAACAGGAUUAGAUACCCGUGUAGUC
rnacentral:rRNA from 1 species